rnacentral:tRNA from 1 species
CGUCUAGCGGCCCAAGACAUCUGGUUCUCAGCCAGAAGAUCAGGGGUUCGAAUCCCCUA